UACGUAGGGUGCAAGCGUUAAUCGGAAUUACUGGGCGUAAAGCGUGCGCAGGCGGCUUUGCAAGACAGAUGUGAAAUCCCCGGGCUUAACCUGGGAAUGGCAUUUGGGACUGCAAGGCUUGAGUUUGGCAGAGGAGACUGGAAUUCCUGGUGUAGCAGUGAAAUGCGUAGAUAUCAGGAGGAAUACCGAUGGCGAAGGCAGCCUCCUGGGCCAGCACUGACGCUCAUGCACGAAAGCGUGGGGAGCAAACAGG
rnacentral:rRNA from 1 species